rnacentral:rRNA from 1 species
AGAGUUUGAUCAUGGCUCAGGAUGAACGCUAGCGGCAGGCUUAAUACAUGCAAGUCGAGGGGCAGCACGGGUAGCAAUACCUGGUGGCGACCGGCAAACGGGUGCGGAACACGUACGCAACCUUCCUUUAAGUGGGGAAUAGCCCAGGGAAACUUGGAUUAAUACCCCUUAAUAUUAUUGAGUGGCAUCACUUGAUAAUUAAAGCUCCGGCGCUUAAAGAUGGGCGUGCGCCUGAUUAGGUAGUUGGCGGGGUAACAGCCCACCAAGCCUACGAUCAGUAACUGGUGUGAGAGCACGACCAGUCACACGGGCACUGAGACACGGGCCCGACUCCUACGGGAGGCAGCAGUAAGGAAUAUUGGUCAAUGGACGCAAGUCUGAACCAGCCAUGCCGCGUGGAGGAUGACGGCCCUCUGGGUUGUAAACUCCUUUUAUCUGGGAAGAAAUGCAGAUUUUCUAAUCUGUUUGACGGUACCAGAGGAAUAAGCACCGGCUAACUCCGUGCCAGCAGCCGCGGUAAUACGGAGGGUGCAAGCGUUAUCCGGAUUCACUGGGUUUAAAGGGUGCGUAGGUGGAGUGGUAAGUCAGUGGUGAAAUCUCCAAGCUUAACUUGGAAACUGCCGUUGAUACUAUCAUUCUUGAAUAUCGUGGAGGUAAGCGGAAUAUGUCAUGUAGCGGUGAAAUGCUUAGAUAUGACAUAGAACACCGAUUGCGAAGGCAGCUUACUACACGAUCAUUGACACUGAGGCACGAAAGCGUGGGGAUCAAACAGGAUUAGAUACCCUAGUAGUCC